GGAGGGGUUGCGCGCGGCUAUGGCACAAGCCAAGAAAGUGAGCGAGAUCCAUCCCGCUCGCUGCCUUGGCUUGUGCCAUAGCCGCGCGCAACCCCUCC